GCUGUGGUUCCUGCUCUAAGCACAGCUUGCUUUGCACAGGGCUGCUUUAGCAGCAGGUUUUGAUGCGGAUACACAUUUAUAGGACAUUCAGAAUCUGCCCUAUUCCAUUUUGCUAGGCUGCAGGAGCAAGGAGCGGCUUAGCUUGGGACAUCCUACAUCACCUUUCUGCAUGGCACCAUGCACUGUACAGCCAGGAUCAGACCCACAAGGCUUGGCUGAGGCUGCAGAUCAGUCCCCCAUCCCAUCCCCAUCUUCAUCCCCGUCCCCUGUGGGGUUCAGCAUCCUCCAAGAUGAGAGCAAGGGUUGGUGAAGCCCUGCGGAGCCUUGGGGAUGCUCUGUAAAUGAUAUUAUUAUCUCUAAUGAAGGGAUUGCCUUGCCUUCCUGUCAGUCUCCAUCCAUCACCGCUAACAGAGCGACAUAAGCAAUAGAACCACACACGGCCCUGGGGGCUGGCAGCUCUGCAGCCUUGCUGCACUCCCUGGGGCAGCUCCGAGGCGAGGACUGACACUGUGUAUUCCCUCGCUGCCAACUCUGAAUGCUUUGAGGAGGCUGCUGAGACUUUUGGGCAUUAGGAAGAGUGUAGGGAAAAGAGACAUUGCCAGUGUGACCUGCUUAAAUUACUGAGUUUGCUGUCUUGGGUAAAGAAACUCCAUCCCAGGACUCUGUGAUUCCUGUGUUGGCCAAAGCUUGAGCUCCUCAGGUGAUGCUGUUUGUGAGCCUGUGGUGGCACAGCUGGCUCUGAUUAUAGCCCUUUGCUUUCACAACAGUUGGUUGUCUUUAUAAAGCCUGACCUUGGGUGACUGCAUGGGUGUUCAUUUCCCUUGAUGCUUUCAUGGUGAGUGUCUGGCUUGUUUGGUGGUGGAGCCUAAGCCUUCAAAGCAAGAAGCCUGCAGUGAGGGCUGCUGCUGCCAACAACGAAUUCACCUGCUGAGGACUGGGGAGGAGCAGUGAGUGGAAUCCUGGUGCACGGCCUCCGGAGGAAGUGCAGAGGGUGACUGUGAGCUGAUGGAUGGGCUGCUGCCAGCCAUGGUUUUGGCAUGUCCCUGGCCAUUGGGAUGUCAAUCCUCUUAGUAACGCCAGCCCGACUUCUAAUCAUGCUGCACUGGGUGUCUCACACUGUGCUUCCACUCCCAGUUUCCAAACUGAGCUUCAAGGCUGUGCCAUCCCCAAAGGCCUCUGGAUGCCAUUAUAGCAGGACGGUUGCUUGGAGCAGCAGAGCUGACGUUUCCAUGGAGGUGCUGCUGCAAGAUGAGGUGCUGCGUUUGCCGAGCGAACAGAAGCUUUGAAAGAAGGUCCUGCUGGUCGUACCAGGGCUCCUCUUCCUCGCUCUGAAACUCCUCCAUCCUGUCGGUGCUCAGCAUUUAGCACCAGCGCCCGGGGGAGCUCGGUGGAGACCUCUAGCAUGGAAAUGCUGCAAGGAAAGCCGGCGAGAGGGAAGGGGGGGCGAGGCCGAUCUCCUCCUCCUCCUCCUCCUCUUCCACGCCCAGCCGCCCUCAGCCUCCCCUCCCGGAGUGCGGGGAUCUCUGGUUCCCCGUUCGCACGGC